UAGGGAAUCUUGCGCAAUGGGCGAAAGCCUGACGCAGCCAUGCCGCGUGAAUGAUGAAGGUCUUAGGAUUGUAAAAUUCUUUCACCGGGGAAGAUAAUGACGGUACCCGGAGAAGAAGCCCCGGCUAACUUCGUGCCAGCAGCCGCGGUAAUACGAAGGGGGCUAGCGUUGCUCGGAAUUACUGGGCGUAAAGGGCGCGUAGGCGGAUGUUUAAGUCGGGGGUGAAAGCCCGGGGCUCAACCUCGGAAUUGCCUUCGAUACUGGACAUCUUGAGUACGGGAGAGGUGAGUGGAACUCCGAGUGUAGAGGUGAAAUUCGUAGAUAUUCGGAAGAACACCAGUGGCGAAGGCGACUCACUGGCCCGUUACUGACGCUGAGGCGCGAAAGCGUGGGGAGCAAAACAGGAUUAGAUACCCUGGUAGUCCACGCCGUAAAACGAUGAGUGCUAGUUGUCGGCAUGCAUGCAUGUCGGUGACGCAGCUAACGCAUUAAGCACUCCGCCUGGGGAGUACGUCGCAAGAUUAAAACUCAAAUGAAUGAC
rnacentral:rRNA from 1 species